AUCACUUUGUGGUUUUCUCUGAGCCGCGUUUGCGGAAAAUCGAACUAAAGUUGAGUACGAAACGGAUACGAAUACUACCAAACACAUGCUCAUCAGACGCCCGGCCGGCCUCACAGCGUUCCAAGUGGCGCUGGUGACUGUGCUCGGCACGCUCGGCGGCUUCUACAUCUGGCGGCCGGGCUUCGUGCAGCGCCGGGAACCCGAGGCACCGCCCCCGCAGCAGCAGCCGCCGCCGCCGCCGCCGCCGCCCACACGAUGACGCUGCUGUCUGGCGUGCUGAAGGC